AUUGAACGCUGGCGGCAGGCCUAACACAUGCAAGUCGAGCGGAUGAAGGGAGCUUGCUCCUGGAUUCAGCGGCGGACGGGUGAGUAAUGCCUAGGAAUCUGCCUGGUAGUGGGGGAUAACGUCCGUAAACGGGCGCUAAUACCGCAUACGUCCUGAGGGAGAAAGUGGGGGAUCUUCGGACCUCACUCUAUCAGAUGAGCCUAGGUCGGAUUAGCUAGUUGGUUGGGUAAAGGCCUACCAAGGCGACGAUCCGUAACUGGUCUGAGAGGCUGAUCAGUCACACUGGAACUGAGACACGGUCCAGACUCCUACGGGAGGCAGCAGUGGGGAAUAUUCGGCAAUGGGCGAAAGCCUGAUCCAGCAAUGCCGCGUGAGUGAAGAAGGUCUUCGGAUUGUAAAGCACUGUAAGUAGGGAGGAAGGGAAGUAAGUUAAUACCUGGAUGUUUUGACGGUACCAACAGAAUAAGCACCGGCUAACUUCGUG
rnacentral:rRNA from 1 species